UGCGUAGGUGGUUAGGUAAGACCUGUGGGAAAGACCUGGGCUUAACCCAGGAAGGUCGCAGGUGACUGCCUGGUUAGAGGGCGGGAGAGGAGCGCGGAAUUCCCGGUGUAGCGGUGAAAUGCGUAGAGAUCGGGAGGAAGGCCGGUGGCGAAGGCGGCGCUCUGGAACGUUCCUGACACUGAGGCACGAAAGCGUGGGGAGCAAACAGGAUUAGAUACCCUGGUAGUCCACGCCCUAAACGAUGGGUACUAAGUGUCGGCGGGUUACCGCCGGUGCCGCACCUAACGGAGUAAGUACCCCGCCUGGGGAGUACGGCCGCAAGGUUGAA
rnacentral:rRNA from 1 species